UGGACUAUGGUGUAAUGGUAGCACAAUAGCCUUUGACGCUAUUUGAGUAGGUCCGAGUCCUACUAGUCCAA
rnacentral:tRNA from 1 species